AUUGAACGCUGGCGGCAGGCCUAACACAUGCAAGUCGAGCGGAUGAAGGGAGCUUGCUCCUGGAUUCAGCGGCGGACGGGUGAGUAAUGCCUAGGAAUCUGCCUGGUAGUGGGGGAUAACGUCCGGAAACGGGCGCUAAUACCGCAUACGUCCUGAGGGAGAAAGUGGGGGAUCUUCGGACCUCACGCUAUCAGAUGAGCCUAGGUCGGAUUAGCUAGUUGGUGGGGUAAAGGCCUACCAAGGCGACGAUCCGUAACUGGUCUGAGAGGAUGAUCAGUCACCCGGGAAUUGGGCACCGGCCCAGCCCCCUAGGGGAGGCAGGAGGGGGGAAUUUUGGACAAUGGGCGAAAGCCUUAUCCAGCCAGGCCGGGUGUGUGAAGAAGGUUUUCGGAUUGUAAAGCCCUUUAAGUUGGGAGGAAGGGCAGUAAGUUAAUACCUUGCUUUUUUGACGUUACCAACAGAAUAAGCACCGGCUAACUUCGU
rnacentral:rRNA from 1 species